rnacentral:rRNA from 1 species
GAUAAGUUUGGUUCUGGCUUAAGCUGUAUAGUGUAAACUUGGGAAUACACAUGGUUUUUUUAGAAUAAGGCGAGGAAAAGAAAUUAAUAUUUAAAUUUGGUAGAAAAUAAAUUUAAAUAUAUUUUCUGUGGUAUUAUAUUAAAAACAUGCCUCGAGAAGUCCCGCUAACUCCAGUGUCUAAUAUUAAAUUAAGGGCGAGAGCUUGUGUUAGCCUAGUUUAAUAUGUCUGGUUAAUUUAGUGCCAGCAUCCGCGGUUAAACUAAGAGACGAAACUAUACAUAUAUAGGUUAAAAGGCAGUUAGGUAAAAAUUAAGUGUAGUAUAUUGAUUGCAUGUGCAGAAGUGGAAUUUGAACACAUGAUAAUAGAAUUUUAGUUACUUAUAAAACUGAAUCUGUGACAUCCUUGACGGAAACUGGGAUUAGAUACCCCAUUAUUCAAGGUUAUAAAUUAAUGUAAAUUUACCAGAGUACUACGAAUAAAAAGGUUUAAAACUCAAAGGGCUUGGCGGUGUUUUAGACUUAUCAGGGGAACCUGUCUCGUAAUCGAUAAUCCACGUUAUACCUGAUCUUUCUUGGCAAUUCAGUUUGUAUACCGUUGUCUGUAGGUAACUUUUAAGAAAAUAAAAGUUAGCAAGAUAAACUUGUUAGUUAAUACGUCAAAUCAAGGUGCAGUAUAUAGAGAGAUGAAGAUGGGUUACAGUUAUUUAUUUAUAACUACGGAUAGAUAGACUAAUGUCUAUUUUGAAGGAGGACUUGAAAGUAAGAAGGAUAUAUAAAAACAUUUUGAAUAUGGCUCUGAAACGUGCACAUAUCGCCCGUCGCUCUCCUUGAAAAAGGAGAUAAGUCGUAACAUAGCAGGGGUAAUGGAAAUUGUUCCUAGACUAGA